GAUCCCGCCUUGCAUCAACUGAA
rnacentral:sRNA from 1 species